AAACGAAGGACUGUUCUUCAACCGUUGCCGAGAUGGAAAGAUUACUUACAUUAUCAAUCAAGGCUUAAUAUUAGCCUAAUGUUCAUUAAGGGAAAAGGCACAGCGUAUUUUCCUAACUUUGAAAGAGCAUAAAGGCAAAGACACAGAGGACCAAUUUACCACUAGCAAAGGCUACGUGCACAUGCUUCCUUAGCAAUAGCUAAGCACAGCCUCCCUUCAUUCAUCACCAUCCACUUCUAGAAGUAAUGCUCCAAAAACCUCCCAAAGUGGAGGAUUCGAAAAGUGAUGCCAGUGCUCUAAUUGCCCUGCAAGACCAUCAAAGCAGUGGAACAGGUGGUUCACUGUCACCAUGAAGACAUGGCCGUCCACCACCAAACAUGAGCCUCUACCAUUCCUCCAU